rnacentral:rRNA from 2 species
UUCGGUGGUUAUAGCGUGGAGGGAACGCCCGGUUACAUUCCGAACCCGGAAGCUAAGCUUCACUGCGCCGAUGGUACUGCAUGCGGGAGUGUGUGGGAGAGUAGGACGCCGCCGAAC